rnacentral:rRNA from 1 species
GAGUGAAGCGGGAAAAGCUCAAAUUUAAAAUCUGGCGGUCUUUGGCCGUCCGAGUUGUAGUCUGGAGAAGUGCUUUCCGCGCUGGACCGUGUAUAAGUCUCUUGGAACAGAGCGUCAUAGAGGGUGAGAAUCCCGUCUUUGACACGGACUACCAGUGCUUUGUGAUGCGCUCUCAAAGAGUCGAGUUGUUUGGGAAUGCAGCUCAAAAUGGGUGGUGAAUUCCAUCUAAAGCUAAAUAUUGGCGAGAGACCGAUAGCGAACAAGUACCGUGAGGGAAAGAUGAAAAGCACUUUGGAAAGAGAGUUAAACAGUACGUGAAAUUGCUGAAAGGGAAACGCUUGAAGUCAGUCGCGUUUGCCGGAACUCAGCCUUCCUUUUGGUUGGUGCACUUUCCGGUAGACGGGCCAGCAUCGAUUUCGACCGUCGGAUAAGGGCUGGGGAAAUGUGGCACCUUUCGGGGUGUGUUAUAGUCCUCAGUCGCAUACGUCGGUUGGGAUCGAGGAUCGCAGCGCGCCGCAAGGCAGGGGUUCGCCCACUUUCGCGCUUAGGAUGCUGGCAUAAUGGCUUUAAACGAC